UUAUCUGGUUGAUCCUGCCAGUAGUGAUAUGCUUUUCUAAAAGACUAAGCCAUGCAUGUGUAAGAUAUAAUCCUCGCACGGUGAAUCUGCGAAUGGCUCAUUAAACCAGUUAUCGUUUAUUUGAUGGUUGAACAACACAUGGAUAACCGUGGUAAUUCUGGGGCUAAUACAUGCACGAAUCCUCGUCAGAGGAGCAUUUAUUAGAUAAAGAACCAACCUGUCGUUUCGGCGGCAGUUACAGGGUGAUUCACAAUAACUUCGCGAACCGCAUGGGCUUUUGCCUGGCGGUGCAUCAUUCAAGUUUCUGACCUAUCAGCUUUCGACGGUAGGGUAUUGGCCUACCGUGGCAUUGACGGGUGACGGGGAAUUAGGGUUUGAUUCCGGAGAGGGAGCCUGAGAAACGGCUACCACAUCUAAGGAGGGCAGCAGGCGCGCAAAUUACCCAAUCCUGACACGGGGAGGUAGUGACAAGACAUAACGGUACGGGGUUAAUAC
rnacentral:rRNA from 1 species